UCUCACUCAUAGUUGUACAAAUUACAGGGCUUUUUUUUAAUUGUCAUAAAACAUAUACAUUAUUCAUCUAUUCAGUUUCAUCUGAAGAGAAUCCAACAAAGAAGAAAUUUUAUUUUCCAAUAAAAUAUUAAAGCUGCUUUACCCCACAAGAGACAGAGCAGAAAUUCCAUCCAUGAUCUAUAUAUUUUUCAGCACAAAGAACGGGGACUUUUGGGUCAUUGACCUACUGACACUGCAUUUACAAUGACAAGUUCUAUGUCUGCAACGUAAAAGGCAAGAAGA
rnacentral:lncRNA from 1 species